rnacentral:tRNA from 1 species
AUCCUUGUAGUGCAAUGGAUAGCGUGUUGGACUUCUAAUCCAAAGGUCGUGGGUUCGAAUUCGAUCUAGGAUG